GCUGCGAGCUGCCUGUGGAGAGAGGGGCAGCCUCUAGGAGCUGAGCAUCUCAGACCCACAACCAUAAGAAACUGAAUCUGGCCCACAAACUGAAAACACUUAGAGGAAUAGCCCAGGCCUAGCUGAGACCCUGCCUCAGCUGACACACUGACUGUAGCCUGUGGGACCCAGUUAGGUCCUGCCCAGGCUCUUGACCCAUGGAAACAGUAAGAUAAGUCUGAAGCCCAGGAAAGCGAAGGAAUUUACUGAAGGCCGCCAUGCUGUCUGGCACUUGAGCUAGAACUCGGCCCCAAGCCCAACAAAUAAAGUCCACAAUCUUUAAGACAUCCACUAAGUUUUGCCCCUCCCCCUCAGCCUUGCUCUUCAGAAACCUGUUCCUUCAGUGAGAAAUCCCAACCAAGAGUUUCAAGGCACGUGGAAGUUGGGCAUGACCAUGUGACUUUUUUGUCCAAUAAAAUAAGAGCAGACGUAACGUGUGUUGUUUCCAAGUGGAAGACUGUGUGAUUCCCCUGCACUAGUGAUCAAGGAGACACAUACAGAUGGACCUUCCAUCAGCCUGCAACCCUGAGUGUCUACGAAUGGACAGAUCACCCCCUAAAAUGCCUAGAUAUACACCAGACACGUAACAUGACCGAGAAUAAAACUUGGUACACUGAGCUGCUGUGAUUUGGGGAUUGUCGUUACAACAGCGUAAGCCAAACCAUCCUGACUAAUAC
ensembl:lncRNA